GAUGAACGCUGGCGGCGUGCCUAAUACAUGCAAGCCGAGCGAACGGACGAGAAGCUUGCUUCUCUGAUGUUAGCGGCGGACGGGUGAGUAACACGUGGAUAACCUACCUAUAAGACUGGGAUAACUUCGGGAAACCGUAGCUAAUACCGGAUAAUAUUUUGAACCGCAUGGUUCAAAAGUGAGAGACGGUCUUGCUGUCACUUAUAGAUGGAUCCGCGCUGCAUUAGCUAGUUGGUAAGGUAACGGCUUACCAAGGCAACGAUGCAUAGCCGACCUGAGAGGGUGAUCGGCCACACUGGAACUGAGACACGGUCCAGACUCCUACGGGAGGCAGCAGUAGGGAAUCUUCCGCAAUGGGCGAAAGCCUGACGGAGCAACGCCGCGUGAGUGAUGAAGGUCUUCGGAUCGUAAAACUCUGUUAUUAGGGAAGAACAUAUGUGUAAGUAACUGUGCACAUCUUGACGGUACCUAAUCAGAAAGCCACGGCUAACUACGUG
rnacentral:rRNA from 1 species